GACGUAACGAUACAACUAGCGUUCCGCCGCUGGCAAACACGCCUUGGCGGGCAGCUUCCCGGAAACGAAAGUUUUUCGGUUCCGGGGGAAGUAUGGUUGCAAAGCUGAAACUUAAAGAAAUUGACGGAAGGGCACCACCAGGAGUGGAGCCUGCGGCUUAAUUUGACUCAACACGGGAAAACUCACCUGGCCCGGACACCGUGAGGAUUGACAGAUUGAGAGCUCUUUCUUGAUUCGGUGGUUGGUGGUACAUGGCCGUUCUUAGUUGGUGGAGUGAUUUGUCUGGUUUAUUCCGAUAACGAGCGAGACUCUAGCCUACUAAAUAGUUACUGGAUAAUUGCGUCCAGAAGACUUCUUAGAGGGACAAGCGGUGUUCAGCCGCACGAAGCUGAGCAAUAACAGGUCUGUGAUGCCCUUAGAUGUCCAGGGCUGCACGCGCGCUACACUGGAGGAAUCAGCGUGCUGUAACCAUUGCCGAAAGGCAUUGGUAACCCCUUGAAAAUCCUCCGUGAUCGGGAUCGGGAAUUGCAAUUAUUUCCCUUGAACGAGGAAUUCCUAGUAAGUGUGAGUCAUCAGCUCACGUUGAUUACGUCCCUGCCCUUUGUACACACCGCCCGUCGCUGCCCGGGACUGAGCCGUUUCGAGAAAUGCGGGGACUGCUGUUUCGAUACCUUUCGGGGUGGAGAUUCUUUGGUGGAAACCGCCUUUAUCGCAGUGGCUUGAACCGGGCAAAAG
rnacentral:rRNA from 1 species